UACGAAGGGGGCUAGCGUUGCUCGGAAUGACUGGGCGUAAAGGGCGCGUAGGCGGCUUGUACAGUCAGAUGUGAAAUUCCUGGGCUCAACCUGGGGGCUGCAUUUGAUACGUAUGGGCUUGAGUGGGGAAGAGGGUCGUGGAAUUCCCAGUGUAGAGGUGAAAUUCGUAGAUAUUGGGAAGAACACCGGUGGCGAAGGCGGCGACCUGGUCCGAUACUGACGCUGAGGCGCGAAAGCGUGGGGAGCAAACAGG
rnacentral:rRNA from 1 species